rnacentral:rRNA from 1 species
ACAUGCCUACAACAUAGCAUUAAUACACCGGAUCCCAUUAUAACUCCGCAGUUAAUCAUGAUUAGGCUAGAGUAGUACAUGGAUGGGUGACCACUCGAGAAGUCCUAGUAUUUUACAUGCC